GUGCUUGCUUCGGCAGCACUUAUACUAAAAUUGGAAUGAUACAGAGAAGAUUAGCACGGCCCCUGCUCAAGGAUGACAUGCAAAUUCGUGAAGUGUUCUAUAUUAAA
ensembl:snRNA U6 U6 spliceosomal RNA